GCCGGGCGCGGUGGCUCACGCCUGUAAUCCCAGCACUUUGGGAGGCAGAGGUGGGUGGAUCACCUGAGGUCAGGAGUUCGAGACCAGCCUGACCAACAUGGUGAAACCCUGUCUCUA
ensembl:misc_RNA Metazoa_SRP Metazoan signal recognition particle RNA